UGGCAAGGGAGGUUUGGGUGGGAAUUCAAGCAACUUAAUCAGGAAUGAGAUACCACAAUCUGCCUUCGAAAACAGCCAAAAAACCUUACAAAAAACCCGACCCUGUGCUAACAACCUCCCCAGGCGCUGGGAGGUGUGGGGCUGGUAGAGCGAGUAACUGCAGCUGAUGAUCACCUGCUUUGAGGACCCAAGGUGCACUGAGAGGGGCUCAGCUUCCCCCUCCCCUGAUCCAGCACUCCCAGUCUUUGUCACAAAUCAUGGUCUCUUUCCCAAGCGCUUUCCUCUUAGGAGGAGUUCUUGCCUCGGUCCUUGGCACACAGGCUCCUGGCAACUUCCUCCCUUGUUUGCUGACUCUGAAUGCUUCCGUAGGCUGUGUGGCCCACUUGGAAGGAAUAUUCAGGGGCAUGAGGUCCAGCAGCUGGUCAGGAAAUGAAGAUGCAUGCCCAGGGAGCUGGUGCAAGGGAAGAGCAGGGAGCGGACCCUGUGUGAUGAGGUGCCGGGAGUGGCCCCAGUUCUGCUGUUCCAGCUGCCCAUCCCCAGGUAGGCACGUGGGCCCCCUCAGGAUGUAUCCCAGGGCGAGGCAGUGCUUUCCUUCACUCUGACUGGCUUUAGGACUGGUCCUGUCCUCUGUCCCAUCUCCUUGCCUCUUGCUCUCCCUUAUUCUGCUAGGACGGUUCUGCCCAUAACUGGUGCCUGGGUCUUGUUCAGACCUGACCUGCAGUGUCACUUCCUCAGGGGGGCCCUCCUGACCCUCACUUCCAAUAUAAAUAAGCACACAAGUGUAGGGGAGUAAAAAUGGCUUUCUCUACCCUUCUAGCUGCCUUGGCUGGUCAGGAAUUAAACUGACAGCAGGGAGAAUAACAGGAGAAAAGGUACAGACAUUUAUCACAUGCAUGGGGGCAUCCCAGGAAAGAAAAGGAAUUCCCCACACCCAGUAAGAUUUAGAAGCUUG
rnacentral:lncRNA from 1 species